UAAAUUAUCAGCGGUCACUCUGAGCGGCAGUUCGGCGCGUUUUUCUGUUAAAUUUUCGUUUCGCGUUCAAUUGUGCUUAAAUUUCGUGUUUUGUGAAUUUAAACAAGUGGAAAUGUCUCUACCAAUGUCGUUUGAGAGGGAGGUAUUAGAGUACCAGACUGUUUGGGAGUUCUUGAAGAAAAUAAAAAUGGAAUCCGUGUUUGAGGACUUGAAAGCUGCUGAAGCAACAUACGACUGCUUGAAGUUUAUGAUCCCUGAGGAUGUCAGAGACACCAUUCGUAAAGUAGGCCCUCGUGCCAAAUUCCGUGAAAGAAUUUUGAGGAUGCAACGGACAGAGGUAAAUAAAUUUUGGAAGCAUUAAGCAUACACGGACUUUAGAGUACAAAACAAAAAUUUGGACCAACUUAUUAAUCGCUCUCCUGAGGGACUGACUGACUGUGUUUCAGUCUUUCAAAACUAAACUCUCGUUAGCACAAACAUUAAGCACUUUACUUGACGAAAUAGUAACUGUAUUUCCAACUGAAGAAUCCAGGAAGAUUUUUUGGCCCGGAUGGAGCUCCAAAGCAUUUGCAUAACGAUACAGUUCGUUAUUCCUAAAUAAUUUAUCACAACAAUUAAAAAAUAUACAUACGUAAAAUAACAUUUAAUCUCGUAA